rnacentral:rRNA from 1 species
AGAUUGAACGCUGGCGGCAUGCCUUACACAUGCAAGUCGAACGGCAGCACGGGAGCAAUCCUGGUGGCGAGUGGCGAACGGGUGAGUAAUACAUCGGAACGUGCCCAAUCGUGGGGGAUAACGCAGCGAAAGCUGUGCUAAUACCGCAUAAGAUCUACGGAUGAAAGCAGGGGAUCGCAAGACCUUGCGCGAAUGGAGCGGCCGAUGGCAGAUUAGGUAGUUGGUGAGGUAAAGGCUCACCAAGCCUUCGAUCUGUAGCUGGUCUGAGAGGACGACCAGCCACACUGGGACUGAGACACGGCCCAGACUCCUACGGGAGGCAGCAGUGGGGAAUUUUGGACAAUGGGCGAAAGCCUGAUCCAGCCAUGCCGCGUGCAGGAUGAAGGCCUUCGGUUGUAAACUGCUUUGUACGGAACGAAAGUCUCUUUCUAAUAAGAGGAUCAUGACGGUACCGUAAGAAUAAGACACCGGCUAACUACGUACG